rnacentral:rRNA from 1 species
GGGGGGACCAUCCUCCAAGGCUAAAUACUCCUGACUGACCGAUAGUGAACCAGUACCGUGAGGGAAAGGCGAAAAGAACCCCUGUGAGGGGAGUGAAAUAGAACCUGAAACCGUGUACGUACAAGCAGUAGGAGCAUACUUGUUAUGUGACUGCGUACCUUUUGUAUAAUGGGUCAGCGACUUAAUUUUAGUAGCAAGGUUAACCGUUUAGGGGAGCCGUAGGGAAACCGAGUCUUAACUGGGCGUCAUAGUUGCUAGGAUUAGACCCGAAACCGAGUGAUCUAGCCAUGGGCAGGUUGAAGGUGAGGUAACACUUACUGGAGGACCGAACCGACUAAUGUUGAAAAAUUAGCGGAUGACUUGUGGCUAGGGGUGAAAGGCCAAUCAAACUCGGAGAUAGCUGGUUCUCCCCGAAAGCUAUUUAGGUAGCGCCUCGGACGAAUACUACUGGGGGUAGAGCACUGUUAAGGCUAGGGGGUCAUCCCGACUUACCAACCUUUGCAAACUCCGAAUACCAGUAAGUAAUAUCCGGGAGACACACGGCGGGUGCUAACGUCCGUCGUGAAGAGGGAAACAACCCAGACCGCCAGCUAAGGUCCCAAAGUUAUAGCUAAGUGGGAAACGAUGUGGGAAGGCUCAGACAGCCAGGAUGUUGGCUUAGAAGCAGCCAUCAUUUAAAGAAAGCGUAAUAGCUCACUGGUCGAGUCGGCCUGCGCGGAAGAUUUAACGGGGCUAAGCUAUACACCGAAGCUGCGGCAAU